UACGAAGGGGGGCUAGCGUUGUUCGGAUUUACUGGGCGUAAAGGGCGCGUAGGCGGCUUGGUAAGUCGGGGGGUGAAAGUCAGCGGCUCAACCGCUGGACUGCCUUCGAGACUGCCUGGCUUGAGCAUGGUAGAGGCUGGCGGAAUUCCCGGUGUAGAGGUGGAAUGCGUAGAGAUCGAUCGGAAUGCCAAGGGUGAAGACAACCGGCUGGGGCUUACCUGACGGCUGAGGCACGAAAGCGUGGGGA
rnacentral:rRNA from 1 species